rnacentral:snoRNA from 1 species
ACGGUUUGGCAGAAAAUAAAUCUUUUCUCUGCAAUCGCCGAGACGCAUCCGCGAUCUCGGAACACCCUUGUCCACGAUGAUGAGUUGUGGGUUUCCGCUUGAGCGUGAAGCUGGUUUCGGUAACUGGGGCUUGCUCUAGACCGAAGCUCUGAUGACCGCCCUCAGGCAUUAUUAGUGCCCGAGGAAGGCGGAGACCCAGUCUGAGUGAC